rnacentral:rRNA from 1 species
AGAGUUUGAUCCUGGCUCAGGACGAACGCUGGCGGCAGGCCUAACACAUGCAAGUCGAGGGGCAUCGAGGAGUAGCAAUACUUUGUCGGCGACCGGCGCACGGGUGCAUAACGCGUAUGCGACCUACCUAUAACAGGGAGAUAACCCAGAGAAAUUUGGACUAAUAUCCCAUAUUAUUAUUUAGUUGCAUGAUUAGAUAAUGAAAGACGCGAGUUGGUUAUAGAUGGGCAUGCGUGACAUUAGCUAGUUGGCGGGGUAACAGCCCACCAAGGCGACGAUCGGUAGCCGGACUGAGAGGUUGGACGGCCACAUUGGGACUGAGACACGGCCCAGACUCCUACGGGAGGCAGCAGUGGGGAAUAUUGCACAAUGGGCGAAAGCCUGAUGCAGCGAUGCCGCGUGAGGGAAGACGGUUUUCGGAUUGUAAACCUCUGUCUUGUGGGACGAUAAUGACGGUACCACAGGAGGAAGCCAUGGCUAACUACGUGCCAGCAGCCGCGGUAAUACGUAGAUGGCGAGCGUUGUCCGGAAUUACUGGGUGUAAAGGGAGUGUAGGCGGGAUUGCAAGUUGAAUGUGAAAGCUAUGGGCUUAACCCAUAAAGUGCGUUCAAAACUGCAAUUCUUGAGUGAAGUAGAGGCAGGCGGAAUUCCCGGUGUAGCGGUGGAAUGCGUAGAUAUCGGGAGGAACACCAGUGGCGAAGGCGGCCUGCUGGGCUUUUACUGACGCUGAGGCUCGAAAGCAUGGGUAGCAAACAGGAUUAGAUACCCUGGUAGUCCAUGCCGUAAACGAUGAUUACUAGGUGUGGGAGGAUUGACCCCUUCCGUGCCGGAGUUAACACAUUAAGUAAUCCACCUGGGGAGUACGACCGCAAGGUUGAAACUCAAAGGAAUUGACGGGGGCCCGCACAAGCAGUGGAGUAUGUGGUUUAAUUCGAAGCAACGCGAAAAACCUUACCAGGUCUUGACAUCCGAUGAAAAGCAUAGAGAUAUGUAAUAGCCUUCGGGCACAUCGAGACAGGUGGUGCAUGGUUGUCGUCAGCUCGUGUCGUGAGAUGUUGGGUUAAGUCCCGCAACGAGCGCAACCCUUAUCAUUAGUUGCUACGCAAGAGCACUCUAGUGAGACUGCCGUUGACAAAAUGGAGGAAGGUGGGGAUGACGUCAAAUCAUCAUGCCCCUUAUGACCUGGGCUACACACGUACUACAAUGGCCAUUAACAAAGAGUCGCAAACCCGCGAGGAGGAGCCAAUCUUCAAAAAUGGUCUCAGUUCGGAUUGUAGGCUGCAACUCGCCUACAUGAAGUCGGAAUUGCUAGUAAUCGCGGAUCAGCAUGCCGCGGUGAAUACGUUCCCGGGCCUUGCACUCACCGCCCGUCA